AUGCACGCUGGCGGCGUGCCUAAUACAUGCAAGUCGCGCGAACGGACGAGAAGCUUGCUUUUCUGAUGUUAGCGGCGGACGGGUGAGUAACACGUGGAUAACCUACCUAUAAGACUGGGAUAACUUCGGGAAACCGGAGCUAAUACCGGAUAAUAUUUUGAACCGCAUGAUUCAAAAGUGAAAGACGGUCUUGCUGUCACUUAUAGAUGGAUCCGCGCUGCAUUAGCUAGUUGGUAAGGUAACGGCUUACCAAGGCAACGAUGCAUAGCCGACCUGAGAGGGUGAUCGGCCACACUGGAACUGAGACACGGUCCAGACUCCUACGGGAGGCAGCAGUAGGGAAUCUUCCGCAAUGGGCGAAAGCCUGACGGAGCAACGCCGCGUGAGUGAUGAAGGUCUUCGGAUCGUAAAACUCUGUUAUUAGGGAAGAACAUAUGUGUAAGUAACUGUGCACAUCUUGACGGUACCUAAUCAGAAAGCCACGGCUAACUACGUG
rnacentral:rRNA from 1 species